rnacentral:rRNA from 1 species
AAUGUUGGGUUAAGUCCCGCAACCCGAGCGCAACCUUUAUCCUUAGUGCAUGCCAGCGAUUCCGUCGGGAACUCUAAAGGAAACUGCCGGGUGAUAAACCCGGUAAGGAAGGUGGGGGACGAAAAGUCAUCAUGGGCCCUUACCGUGGAAGGGGUACACCACGUGGCUACAAUGGGCAUAUACAGAAGUGGUCGCGAAAUUUGCGAGAAUAAACCGAAUCACUUAAAAGGAUGGCCGAAUCCCCGGAUUGGGAGUCCGGCACCCCGCACUCCCUUGAAGUCCGGAAUCCCUUUGGAAAUCCCGAGUACAAAAAUUGCCCGGGGGGAAAAAUCCCCGGAAGCGCCUUUGGACACAACCCCCCCGGUCACACCAUGGGGAAGGGGGGUUGCCCCACAAAAAGGGGAAGCCUUUAACUCCUCGGGAAGGGGGCGUUCCCCCCCGGAAAGUGUAAUUAUAAGGGGGGGGGGAGGAANNCCCCUCAAAAGGGGAGGUCC